rnacentral:rRNA from 1 species
UACGAACUGUGCAAACGUUAUUCGGAUCCACUGGGCUUAAAGGGUGCGUAGGCGGCCAUGUAAGUAGGGUGUGAAAUCCCCCGGCUUAACCGGGGAACUGCGCCCUAAACUGUGUGGCUUGAGUGAGAUAGGGGUGUGUGGAACUUCCGGUGGAGCGGUGAAAUGUGUUGAUAUCGCCUGGAACGCCGAAGGUGAAAACAGUCUGCUGGGGGCGUGCCGACGCUGAGACACGAAAGCCAGGGGAGCGAACGGG